UACGAAGGGGGCUAGCGUUGCUCGGAAUCACUGGGCGUAAAGGGUGCGUAGGCGGGUCUUUUAAGUCAGGGGUGAAAUCCUGGAGCUCAACUCCAGAACUGCCUUUGAUACUGAAGAUCUUGAGUUCGGGGAGAGGUGAGUGGGAACUGCGAGUGUAGAGGUGAAAUUCGUAGAUAUUCGCAAGAACACCCGUGGCGUAAG
rnacentral:rRNA from 1 species